GGAGACGGCUACAGACAGAGGCACAGGAAAGACGUUCUAUCCCCCCUCGGCAGCGCAGCAUCCGGAGACUUCAGAAAAGUGUGUCUUUGAGCUUGAGCGGGGGGACAACGAGUGCAGAUGAGACUGAGGGACAUCCAGAGACUCGGCACUGAGGACAGAAAAGAGAGCAGGAAAUAUAGAUAUCUACGUACAUCAGCACCAGCCCACAAACAUGUAGAUAUACAACAGAAAUAUACAAAGAAGCCACACACACAUGCACACGCAAACUUUCAGAAUCAUACCAACGUGUGCGAGAGGAUUCGCUUGACCGCAGCCGGCACGCACAAACGACACUCUGACUGAAACAGACUUCAUGUCACUGCUGUCUCUUCAUCUGCCAAAGCGGCCAUCCAGAAAGCUCUGUCCUAAAAUCCCUUUCUGUGUGUGUGUGUGUGUGUGUGUGUUUGUUUUCCUUUCCUGUCAGACGCCACUAAAGUGGCAUGCUUCACAGAGCAUCGCAUUGUCCGACAUAUGGGCCUCGCUCCUCGGCCCCCUCCAGGAAACACGGCCAAGCGGGCGGCGUCGGAGCCCCCCGGGUUCCACCGUGGCCCGGUUGUCUUUUAACGUCGGCGCCCCCCGCAGCUCGGGCGCUUUUCCCCCAGGUGCGGAGGCUGGGAGGGCCGCUUGGUACCACGGGGUCAACGUGGCAGCGGUUCCUAGCUGCUCGUUGCUGCACACCUCCCACCUCGUUCAUCAGCCUUCCCUGCUGCCGAGCCUGAGCACCGAGUUAGUGCGACGCUUUCAUUCAGAAGAAGUGAACAGCGGCCGCGGGGGCUGA
ensembl:lncRNA